CGGGUCGUUGGCUGAGAGGGUAAGCGACGGACUGUUAAUCCGUGUCAGAAAUGACUAGGCAGGUUCGAUACCUGCACGGCCCGCCAA
rnacentral:tRNA from 4 species